rnacentral:ncRNA from 1 species
GAACAACAUCUAUAGAGAAGCUUAUGCUUCACCAACCUGCCAAGAUCUGGCAAAGGUGGUUCAACGAUGUGGCUUUAAUUAGCAACAAUAAGAUCGUAG